CAGGCCUCCCUCUGCUUGGUUCCGUCGUGGGCAUGAGUGAGGGGCGAUGCUUGAUGGCUUUGAUGCCAUCGGUGGGAAUGUGUUUAAGCAUCGGCCUUCCCUCAUGACCACGAUGGUCUACAGUCUUGUGUACGAGUUAGUGACGUCGCUUGUUUGUUUUGAUGCUUGCGUUGGAACUUGCUUAAGCAACCGACCUGACGAAGUACCCAUGAAUGUCACCCAUGAUGGUCUACAGUCUUGCGUACGAGUUAGUGACGUCGCUUGUUUGUUUUGAUGCUUGCGUUGGAACUUGCUUAAGCAACCGACCUGACGAAGUACCCAUGAAUGUCACCUAUGAUGGUCUACAGUCUUGCGUACGAAUUAGUGACGUCGCUUGUUUGUUUUGAUGCUUGCGUUGGAACUUGCUUAAGCAACCGACCUGACGAAGUACCCAUGAAUGUCGUUCAUGAUGGUCUACAGUCUUGCGUAUGAGUCAGUGACGACGCUUGUCAACCUAGUAGGGACGUGUCCCUGCGCCCAACGACUUUUGUCGGGAUCGUGGCAAGUCUGCGAUCCAGGGGGUGAUGUUGAGAGCCAGAAGGCAAGGGGGUGCAAACACUAGUCUGCCUUUGUCCCGAUUGCCGAGUGUUAUGUGCUUGAUGUCCAAGGCUUGAUGCUGAUCCUCCAAGUGGGGCUUGUCCCUGCACCAAUGGCUUUUGCCAGGAUCAUGGCGUUUGUGUGAUCGAAAAAAUGAGGGGGUGAUGUUGAGAGCCGGAAGGCAAGGGGGUGCAAACACCAGUCGGCCUUUGUCCCGAUUGCUGAGUGUUAUGUGCUUGAUGUCCAAGGCUUGAAGCUGACCCUCCAAGUGGGGGCUUUUUUGUUCCUGCGGUAACGACUCUGUUGGGAUCAUUGUGAUCAAGUUUGGUUGGUUUCGUAUUGUGGUGGGUUUUUUCGAAGCUUCUAUCGUUCUUUUACGCAUCGUGCGGUGCAUCUUGGGGGCUGUUUUGGCUUUUGGUUGCUUGCUUGGGCUUUAUGCUAGGCGGGUGGCUAAU
rnacentral:misc_RNA from 1 species